GUGGUAGCUUCAGUAGCACAUAAACUAAAACUGGAACAAUACAGAGAUUAGCAUGGCCCUUGUGCAAGGAUGACACACAAGUUUGUGAAGCCUUCCAUAUUUUG